AGCCCGGGGCUGGAGGUGGGGGUCCGGAGAAGUGGGGUAACGGCCCUGGGCUCGCACGUGGAGGGAGCGUGCAGACGCUCCCCAAAUCGUAGAGAGGCUGCAGGGACCCGGGGAAGGGCCGGAAAGGGCGUGAGAGGUGGGCACCUGGGGGCUGCAGCCUUCUUGCGAGCGGCCAGGGGAGGGGGGCGAACCCGACUCGCACGUGGAGGGAGAGAGGAUUCGCCCCUUCGGCAAGAUGCAGGAGCCAAGGGAGUGGGCGCACAGUUACCAUUCCAGGCUUGUGUGGGAGAAGACUGUUGUGCCCUUGUGCCUGUCCACCCGGGCGACCCCAGCCCUCGGUUAAUACAAGAUGUCACCUCCACUUGAGCCGUCCCACUGCACAUGCUGAGCCCGCAGUAUAAAGAGGAACUUCAAGUCUCACAACCAUUAGGGACUCUUUCCAAGAGUUUGCGGUGCUGAGGAAGGAGAUGCAGUUUGUUCCUCUUCCCCUUGAACCCGGACGGCCUUGAGACUUGCUCAAUAGAAUGCACUCCAAGUAAUGUCUUAUGAGUUUGGAGCCUGGGCCCUAAGAGGCCUUGCCGCUGCCUGGUUUUACCGUCCUGGGAUCUGGACACCCUGUUUGAGAAGCUUGGAGUUCUCAAUGAUGUGAAACCACAUGGAGAGUGAGAAGUCCAACCAUCCCAGCCACUGCAGCCAAGGUAUGAAACACGUGAGUAAAGCUGUCUGGGAUUCUCCAGCCAGCCAAGCUGUCGCAGCCAACCAAGCAUGGCAGAGACAAACCAUCCCUGAGGAGCCGCACCUGAAUUACACAAUCACGAGAAAUAAGAAAUGGUGUUGUUUUAAGCCACUGCCCUUGGAGGUUACUUGGUAUUUAGCAACAGGUAACUAAAAUAUGAUCUGUUUCAGGAACUGUUUUACAACAGAACUUCUAGAAACACAUUGCAUUUAAAAGAAGAGCUGCAAUCUCUAGCAAUUAUCUCUUGUCUCAGCACUUUCCCUUCUAGGAAUCUAUCCCAAAGAUAUCCUUGGCCAAAAUACAAGAAGAUAUAUUGGCUAUUCACUGCAGCACUAUUUGUAGUAGCAACAAACUUCCAACAACUCAAGUGUCUAUCAGUAAAGGACUGGUUGAAUAAGCUGUGUAGCAUCCAGGUGGUGGAGUACUAUGCAGCCAUGAAAAGGGAUUAUGGACACCUCUGUGAACUGCUGUGGUGUGAUCACCAGGAUAUAAGGUUGAAUGAAAAAAGCAAGGCAGAGAAAAGUGCUUAUGGUAUGCUAUGCUAUUGUCUGUUUAACUUACUUGUUUUUAAUUGAAAGGAUAAAAUAUAACAUUUCAAAAGAAAUUGUUACCUAUGGGGGAGGGAGGGAAUAGGGUAAAUGAUGCCACAGGACUAUAAUCUGCAAACUCUAGAUUUUGGGAAACAUUAUAGAAAAACCAACCCAGUUUCUGUAACAAAGAAACAUUUUAAAAAACAAAAGGGAUAGAAUGGGAACUCAGUGAUUAAAAAGAGGGACUUAAUUUAUUCCUUUGAUAAUAUGUAAGUUUAAAAAGCUAAAGCUCUAAACGUUCUUAGAAACAAUGAUCAGUACAUAGAUGUAAAUUUUAAAAAUAUAUGCAGUAAAAAAAAGAGGAACUUAAGAGUCUAUCAAUUGCAAUUUAUGAACAUUUUGUAUCCUGCAUUGAAUUAAAAAACUGAAGUGUAUGAGACAAUGGGGAAAUUUAAACAUGGGUUGAAUAUUUGAUGACAUUAUGGAUUUAUUAUUUAUGUAGAAUAGUCAUAGUGUGCUUAUAUUCUUAAAAGAAUCUUCACAUAUUUAAGAGACACACUGAAAUUUUAAUAGAUGAAAUGCUGUAACACUGGGAGUCACUUCAAAAGUAUUGCAAGGAUUGGUGAAGGAGGUGAAGUUAGGGAUUAAACCAGACUGGCCAUCAGUUGAUAAUUAUUGAAUCUGGACGAUUGGUUCAUGAAGGUUCAUUAUGUUGUCCUCCUUACUUUUGUAUAUAUUUGAGAUUUUCCAAAAUAAAAACUUAAAAUAAAAAA